rfam:Ailuropoda melanoleuca scaffold3419_1, whole genome shotgun sequence.
GCCUGGCUGGCUCAGUCAGUAGAGCACACGACUCUUAAUCGUGGGGUUGUGAGUUCAAGCCACACGUUGGGCA